GAUGAACGCUGGCGGCGUGCCUAACACAUGCAAGUCGAACGGACCUUGCUCAACAGAGGUACUUGUACCGAAGGAGAGCGCUGGUUAGUGGCGGACGGGUGAGUAACACGUGGGUAAUUAACCUUCCGGACCGGGAUAACAUCGGGAAACUGGUGCUAAUACCGGAUACGAUUCACGGGCGGCAUCGCCUGUGGAUGAAGAGAGGCCUCUCGAAGAAGCUCCUGCUGGAAGACAAGCCCGCGGCUGAUUAGCUAGUUGGUAAGGUAACGGCUUACCAAGGCAACGAUCAGUAGCCGGCCUGAGAGGGUGAACGGCCACACUGGGACUGAGACACGGCCCAGACUCCUACGGGAGGCAGCAGUGGGGAAUAUUGCGCAAUGGGGGAAACCCUGACGCAGCAACGCCGCGUGAAUGAAGAAGGCCU
rnacentral:rRNA from 1 species